UGUAUUCUGUAGCGUAUGAGGAUUUCAAGUGAAAAUUAGAUGUUGGAUUUCAUAUUUGUUACAUGUUAAACUGUUGGAAUUAGUGAGGACUGUUAUAAAUCUGCAUACAACGAAAAACUAGCAAAUGAAAACUGUUCAAUAAAAAACAUAACAAAAAUUUGUCACCAAAUUCACUUGCUUGAAAUGGUCAAAAUUACUUUCUACGCGAUGGCUGUGGUCCAGUUUUCUAACAAAUAUUAACUUAAAUAAGUAUUUAAUCCUCCAUGCAGAGCAGAAUGGAUGGAGUAAGGCUAAUGUGUUAAUAAAAUAGAAUUUUUUUAAGAUAAUAAUCCCAAAAGUAUAAUGAUCGGGUGUCCUAGCUAGCUUGGUUCAAAUGCGGAUGUGGUCCAGUUAUAUUUUCAUACUCAAUAGGUUAGUGUGAUAAUGAUCGGAAGUCCUGGGUUCGAAUCCUGACCUGGUCCAGUUGUAUUUUUAUACUCAAUAGGUUAGUGUGAUAAUGAUCGGAAGUCCUGGGUUCGAAUCCUGACCUGGUCCAGUUGUAU